GGGGCAGGCUACACAUGCAGUCGAGCGGUAGCACAGAGAGCUUGCUCUCGGGUGACGAGCGGCGGACGGGUGAGUAAUGUCUGGGAAACUGCCUGAUGGAGGGGGAUAACUACUGGAAACGGUAGCUAAUACCGCAUAACGUCGCAAGACCAAAGUGGGGGACCUUCGGGCCUCAUGCCAUCAGAUGUGCCCAGAUGGGAUUAGCUAGUAGGUGGGGUAAUGGCUCACCUAGGCGACGAUCCCUAGCUGGUCUGAGAGGAUGACCAGCCACACUGGAACUGAGACACGGUCCAGACUCCUACGGGAGGCAGCAGUGGGGAAUAUUGCACAAUGGGCGCAAGCCUGAUGCAGCCAUGCCGCGUGUAUGAAGAAGGCCUUCGGGUUGUAAAGUACUUUCAGCGAGGAGGAAGGCAUUAAGGUUAAUAACCUUGGUGAUUGACGUUACUCGCAGAAGAAGCACCGGCUAACUCCGUGCCAGCAGCCGCGGUAAUACGGAGGGUGCAAGCGUUAAUCGGAAUUACUGGGCGUAAAGCGCACGCAGGCGGUCUGUCAAGUCGGAUGUGAAAUCCCCGGGCUCAACCUGGGAACUGCAUUCGAAACUGGCAGGCUAGAGUCUUGUAGAGGGGGGUAGAAUUCCAGGUGUAGCGGUGAAAUGCGUAGAGAUCUGGAGGAAUACCGGUGGCGAAGGCGGCCCCCUGGACAAAGACUGACGCUCAGGUGCGAAAGCGUGGGGAGCAAACAGGAUUAGAUACCCUGGUAGUCCACGCCGUAAACGAUGUCGACUUGGAGGUUGUGCCCUUGAGGCGUGGCUUCCGGAGCUAACGCGUUAAGUCGACCGCCUGGGGAGUACGGCCGCAAGGUUAAAACUCAAAUGAAUUGACGGGGGCCCGCACAAGCGGUGGAGCAUGUGGUUUAAUUCGAUGCAACGCGAAGAACCUUACCUACUCUUGACAUCCAGAGAACUUAGCAGAGAUGCUUUGGUGCCUUCGGGAACUCUGAGACAGGUGCUGCAUGGCUGUCGUCAGCUCGUGUUGUGAAAUGUUGGGUUAAGUCCCGCAACGAGCGCAACCCUUAUCCUUUGUUGCCAGCGGUCCGGCCGGGAACUCAAAGGAGACUGCCAGUGAUAAACUGGAGGAAGGUGGGGAUGACGUCAAGUCAUCAUGGCCCUUACGAGUAGGGCUACACACGUGCUACAAUGGCAUAUACAAAGAGAAGCGACCUCGCGAGAGCAAGCGGACCUCAUAAAGUAUGUCGUAGUCCGGAUUGGAGUCUGCAACUCGACUCCAUGAAGUCGGAAUCGCUAGUAAUCGUAGAUCAGAAUGCUACGGUGAAUACGUUCCCGGGCCUUGUACACACCGCCCGUCACACCAUGGGAGUGGGUUGCAAAAGAAGUAGGUAGCUUAACCUCGGAGGCGCUA
rnacentral:rRNA from 1 species